ACUUUACUUCUUUGAUCCCUUUUUAUUGUCAAAGGGACUUGGUUCUGGUGGAUGAGGAGAGGUGGGGUGAACAUUAAACCGAUCUCUCCUCACUACUGAAAUUGAGAGGCAGUCGGCCCCCAUGCGUUGAGGCGUUGUAAAAUCUGCUAAUGCAUGUUUUCGCUGGCAUCCGCAUGGAAGAUUGGCUUGCCAUCUAGUUUGAAAAACCCUCAAUCAAUCAAU
rnacentral:misc_RNA from 1 species